rnacentral:lncRNA from 1 species
GCUCUUUUUCUUUUUUCAUCUUUCUUUCUUUAUUUAUAAGGUAAGCACCAUUGGGUACUGUAACUGUUAGAAUAUGUAAUAGUAGAAACCUAAUCCAAUGUGUAUUAGGAGUAGCCUAACCCAAUGUUUAUUAGGAGUAGGAUAGGUUAUGUGUGUAUAUAUAGGGCUCAUUAUCAUGUUUAAUAUCAAUUAUAUUUUUCUCUCGUGCUUUCUCACAGUAACCUCCAGAUAUUAUGAUACUCGUUCAUGACAAGUUUACAUGUCUUAGUGGUGCACAUACUCCCACUUAUUGGAAUAAAGGAAUAAGAGAAUCUUCCAGAUUAAUGAGAUAGAUGCUAGAAGUAUGAAAAGAUUUUUUUUGUUUCAUCUAUAUAUUUUGGUGCAAUAGUUGGUCUUGGUAGAUUGGAGUAGUUGAAUCAUGCCUUUUGAGUUAGGCCCAAGGUCCAUUCUUAUCAUGGUAUCAGAGCCAGGCCCAUCCCAAUUAUUGAGUCCUUGGUCUCCUUAUAUGGCUUGGGCAAUCCUCACCUCAUAAGCUAGUUUUUGGGAUUGAGUUAUGCCCAAGGUCCAUUCUUAUCAUGGUAUCAGAACCAGGCCCAUCCCAAUUAUUGUUACCGAU